CAGGGAAUCUUGCGCAAUGGGCGAAAGCCUGACGCAGCGACGCCGCGUGGGGGAUGAAGGCCCUAGGGUUGUAAACCCCUUUUGCUGUGGAAUAAGAUCUGAAGGUACACAGCGAAUAAGGCCCGGCCAACUACGUGCCAGCAGCCGCGGUAAUACGUAGGGGCCAAGCGUUGUCCGGAUUUAUUGGGCGUAAAGGGUGCGUAGGCCGCUCGAACAGUCCGUUGCGAAAGCUCCCGGCUCAACUGGGAGAGGUCAGCGGAUACUAUCGAGCUAGAGGACGGCAGAGGAAGGUGGAAUUUCCGGUGUAGCGGUGGAAUGCGUAGAUAUCGGAAGGAACAUCAGUGGCGAAGGCGACCUUCUGGGCCGUUUCUGACGCUGAGGCACGAGAGCGUGGGUAGCAAACCGG
rnacentral:rRNA from 1 species